rnacentral:rRNA from 1 species
UCAGUGGCGAACGGGUGAGUAACACGUGAGCAACCUGCCCUGGACUCUGGGAUAAGCGCUGGAAACGGUGUCUAAUACUGGAUAUGAGAUGUGAUCGCAUGGUCAUGUUUGGAAAGAUUUUUCGGUCUGGGAUGGGCUCGCGGCCUAUCAGCUUGUUGGUGAGGUAAUGGCUCACCAAGGCGUCGACGGGUAGCCGGCCUGAGAGGGUGACCGGCCACACUGGGACUGAGACACGGCCCAGACUCCUACGGGAGGCAGCAGUGGGGAAUAUUGCACAAUGGGCGGAAGCCUGAUGCAGCAACGCCGCGUGAGGGAUGACGGCCUUCGGGUUGUAAACCUCUUUUAGCAGGGAAGAAGCGUAAGUGACGGUACCUGCAGAAAAAGCGCCGGCUAACUACGUGCCAGCAGCCGCGGUAAUACGUAGGGCGCAAGCGUUAUCCGGAAUUAUUGGGCGUAAAGAGCUCGUAGGCGGUUUGUCGCGUCUGCUGUGAAAUCCCGAGGCUCAACCUCGGGUCUGCAGUGGGUACGGGCAGACUAGAGUGCGGUAGGGGAGAUUGGAAUUCCUGGUGUAGCGGUGGAAUGCGCAGAUAUCAGGAGGAACACCGAUGGCGAAGGCAGAU